rnacentral:rRNA from 1 species
AUUGAACGCUGGCGGAACGCUUUACACAUGCAAGUCGAACGGUAGAGGGGGCAACCCCUCGAGAGUGGCGAACGGGUGAGUAAUAUAUCGGAACGUGCCCAGUCGUGGGGGAUAACGUAGCGAAAGUUACGCUAAUACCGCAUACGAUCUAAGGAUGAAAGCGGGGGACUCGCAAGAGCCUCGCGCGAUUGGAGCGGCCGAUAUCAGAUUAGGUAGUUGGUGGGGUAAAGGCUCACCAAGCCAACGAUCUGUAGCUGGUCUGAGAGGAAGACCAGCCACACUGGAGCUGGGACACGGUCCAGACUCCUACGGGAGGCAGCAGUGGGGAAUUUUGGACAAUGAACGCAAGUCUGAUCCAGCCAUUCCGCGUGCAGGAUGAAGGCCCUCGGGUUGUAAACUGCUUUUGUACGGAACGAAAAGGUUUCUAUUAAUACUAGGAGCUCAUGACGGUACCGUAAGAAUAAGCACCGGCUAACUACGUGCCAGCCGCCGCAGUAA